UGGGGAAUUUUGGACAAUGGGGGAAACCCUGAUCCAGCCAUCCCGCGUGUGCGAUGAAGGCCUUCGGGUUGUAAAGCACUUUUGGCAGGAAAGAAACGUCAUGGGUUAAUACCCCGUGAAACUGACGGUACCUGCAGAAUAAGCACCGGCUAACUACGUGCCAGCAGCCGCGGUAAUACGUAGGGUGCAAGCGUUAAUCGGAAUUACUGGGCGUAAAGCGUGCGCAGGCGGUUCGGAAAGAAAGAUGUGAAAUCCCAGAGCUCAACUUUGGAACUGCAUUUUUAACUACCGGGCUCGAGUGUGUCAGAGGAAGGUGGAAUUCCGCGUGUAGCAGUGAAAUGCGUAGAUAUGCGGAGGAACACCGAUGGCGAAGGCAGCCUCCUGGGAUAACACUGACGCUCAUGCACGAAAGAGUGGGGAGCAAACAGG
rnacentral:rRNA from 1 species